GCUUCCGGCCGCUGCGCCCAUUUCCAAAAUGGCGGAUACAGCUUCAGUUGUACGGGGCGGUGCAAAAAGAGGUGGCCAAGAAUCGUCGUGGUGACGGUGCCCUGGAACGGCAUGUUGCGGACAGCGCUGAGCCGCAUGCCGACACUACUUCGUAGUGUGAGGACCCGGGAUUCCGGACCGCGGCAGCUUUGGGAUUUGGGGGCUCGCCUAAAAACCGCGAAGAGACUUCGGGGCUGGGCCUGGGGCUGGCGGAGCUCGAGCUCCGCGCCGGGAUCAGAGCAUGCGGCGGCGCUAGGGCGCGUGAAAGCGGACCACUACCAGCUCGUCUACACCUGCAAGGUGGGCGCGGUCGGCAGCACCCAGCGCUGGCUGGUUUCCUGAAGGUCUGUGGGACUCGGUCAUCCAAGCACAUCUCAAAGUUGGCCUAUCACCAGGGUGUGGUCAUCGUGACUUGCCCUGGUUGCCAGAACCACCACAUCAUCGCAGACAACCUAAGCUGGUUCUCUGACCUGAAGGGGAAGAGGAACAUUGAAGAGAUCCUAGCAGCCAGAGGAGAGGAGGUACGCCGGGUGUGCGGUGACGGUGCCUUGGAACUGAUUCUGGAGGUGGCUGAACCACCUGCCACCCCAGAAGGGGGUGAAGAUCCCACUCACCCCGGCAAGAUGGACCAGAGCUGACCCCGUACACUCUUGCAACUGUGGACUCCUCCAACUUCAGACUCCAGUCUUCCCAAAAGUCUCCCCCUUCACUUGGAGCCUCUCCAGCCUGCUGUUCUCUGUCAGUAAACAACUGUCAAUCCA